UCUCGGCUUAUCACCGGCAGUCCCCUUAGAGUGCCCAACUGAAUGCUGGCAACUAAGGACAAGGGUUGCGCUCGUUGCGGGACUUAACCCAACAUGUCACCACACGAGCUGACGACAGCCAUGCAGCACCUGUCACUUGGUCGUAUUGCUACGAAAGACGUAUCUCUACGUUUGUCCAAGGAUGUCAAACCCAGGUAAGGUUUUUCGCGUUGCUUCGAAUUAAACCACAUGAUCCACCGCUUGUGCGGGCCCCCGUCAAUUCCUUUGAGUUUUAGUCUUGCGACCGUACUUCCCAGGCGGGGUACUUAGUGCGUUAGCGCCGGUUCGGCAGGGGUCAAGACCUACCAAACCUAGUACCCAUCGUUUACGGCGUGGACUAC
rnacentral:misc_RNA from 1 species